rnacentral:rRNA from 1 species
AAGGGCACCACCAGGCGUGGAGCAUGCGGCUUAAUGUGACUCAACACGGGGAAACUCACCAGGUCCAGAUGCAAUAAGGAUUGACAGAUUGAGAGCUCUUUCUUGAUUUUUCAGGUGGUGGUGCAUGGCCGUUCUUAGUUGGUGGAGUGAUUUGUCUGCUUAAUUGCGAUAACGAACGAGGCCUUAACCUGCUAGAGUAGCCAGGCUAGCUUUGGCCUGGUCGCCGGCUUCUUAGAGGGACUAUCGGCUCAAGCCGAUGGAAGUUUGAGGCAAUAACAGGUCUGUGAUGCCCUUAGAUGUUCUGGGCCGCACGCGCGCUACACUGGCAGAGCCAACGAGUUCUUCACCUUGGCCGGAAGGUCUGGGUAAUCUUGUUAAACUCUGUCGUGCUGGGGAUAGAGCAUUGCGAUUAUUGCUCUUCAACGAGGAAUGCCUAGUAAGCGCAUGUCGUCAGCAUGCGU